AAACCUGUGUUUUGAAUCCACUGGACUCAAAAGAAUGGAUAUUCUGUAUCUGUUGUUGCAGAAAUCAGUUUUCGAGAGAUUUCUCACUUAUAUCAGCAAGCACAUUAAUUUAUACAUCAACAUCCCAACAGCUCCCUGGAG